rfam:Desulfosporosinus sp. BRH_c37 BRHa_1002342, whole genome shotgun sequence.
CCCUACUAUAUAAGUCCGCUGUAGAAAGCAGGUGCCGUAAGGCUUAAUUUCCUGCCGAGGUUGGAAGAUACGCCGAUAGAUAUUUAUUUGGCAUUCUUAACCUCUGCAAACGCGGAGGUUUUUUGCUAAGUUA